GAUGAACGCUGGCGGCGUGCCUAAUACAUGCAAGUCGAGCGAACAGACGAGGAACUUGCUCCUCUGACGUUAGCGGCGGACGGGGGAGUAACACGUGGAUAACCUACCUAUAAGACUGGAAUAACUUCGGGAAACCGGAGCUAAUACCGGAUAAUAUAUGCAACCGCAUGGUUCAAUAGUGAAAGACGGUUUUGCUGUCACUGAUAGAUGGAUCCGCGCCGCAUUAGCUAGUUGGUAAGGUAACGGCUUACCAAGGCAACGAUGCGUAGCCGACCAGAGAGGGUGCUUGCUCACACUGACAAUGCGACCCGGUACAGCGUACUACGUGAGGCAGACGUCGGCACUCGUACGCCAUCGGCGCACUCUUGGCGGAGCCACGGCGCGUAAGUCAUAAAGGUAUUAGGAUACUACAACUCUGUUAUCAGAGAAAAACAACUGUGUCAGUAACUAUGCAAGUCUUCAGGGUACCUACUCAGAAGGCCACGGCUAACUACGUG
rnacentral:rRNA from 1 species